UAAUAACUACAUUACUUUAUUUCCUUCUCUUCACUUUCACAUGCUUUUUAUUCAAACACUUCUUACAUCCAAAACAAAAAAACAUAAACCAUAAAAAGCCACCAGGUCCACCAACACUACCAAUAAUUGGAAACCUUCACCUAUUAGGUAAACUUCCACAUAGAACACUUCAAUCACUCUCCAAAAAAUAUGGUCCAAUCAUGUCCUUACAACUUGGUCAAGUUCCAACAAUUAUAAUUUCUUCUUCAAAAGCUGCAGAAUCAUUCCUCAAAACUCACGACAUCAAAUUUGCAAGCCGGCCAAAGAUUCAAGGAACUGAACUCAUAACAUAUUGAUGUGAUCCUAAAAAUUAUCUCUCUUGACAAGAAUAAUAAAGUCAUUGUGGAAUAAAAGAACCAAAUUAAUUUUGGGUUCAAAGUUUUAUUUUCGUAGGUCAUGAUAUGUCUGUCUUGUUUUGGCUAUAUCUGGAGCUCUGGAUGUCCGUUUGAGGUGAUCUUUAACUCGUUGGAAAGCUUACGAAAUUCUCUACAUUUCAUCUAUUUGAUUCAAGAUCAAAUUCGGAAUAUUUAAUGGUGUAAAAUGAGUUGUAAGUUGAAAACGUGGUUAAAGUGUGUAAGCUGAAGAAUUAAAGGUGUUUGUGGAAUUGUAACGUCUAGAAAUAAUUAGCCUUCACAAAUCAAUGUGCAAAUGAAUAUGUAACCUCCUCAUGCAUUGAUUAGCCACCAGCUUAGAGAGUCAUUUUGUAACAUUUUAUUUGCAUUAAUCAGCCACCAAAACAUUAUUGUAAUUAGUGGUUGCAUUUCCUUUCAUUUUCUAAGAGUUUUAGAGUCAAAAUCAUCAUGUAAUAAGCUCAUAUAAAUAGAGCACGAAAAUGAUAUGAAAAAGAAGUUGAAUAUUAUAGAAUUUUACACAUAUGUGUAUUGAGAGCUUUGUCUCUUGUGGUUCUGGAUUGAACCAACCUUGAUCUUAUCAAGAAAUCAUAUUUCUUGUGGCGAUCCUCGCAUCCAUAGACUUAUCACUUUCUUGGAUUAGAAAGUGUGGCGUCCCUGUCUAUCCAUUACAUUUCUUCAUUUUUUAGUCUUUUCAUCAUUUCCACCAACAAUAUUCAUAAUUCACUUCCGACGGCUCCGUGACAUUCAUCAUUUGGUAAUCAGAGCUUAGGUUCAAAUCAGGUGUUUUCUAUCCUUUUAAUUUAUUUGAUUUUUGUUGUUCUACAUCAAAGUUUGAAAAAAAAAAAUGUCUCAAGAAAUCCAAGCUUCAAUAGAAUAUUUUGAUAAAGUAUGGAGAGAGAAAAUGCUUGAGGAUAUCAAGAGGAGAUCAAGUCAUUCUUCUCCUCUUAAAGAGUUACAAAGAAAUAGGAGAGAGAAAAUGAUGGCAAUAAUUGAUAGAGGAAUGGCUGAUAUCUCUAAAAUACUAGAGGAAAAUCUCUUUCAAAUCCAAAAUCAUUAUAUAGAGCCUAAAAUAGAUAUUGAAGAAAAAGAGAGUCUCAUUGUAAAGGAAACUCACGAAGAAGAAUGUGAAAAGGAAAGAGAAGAGACAAAAGAAAGUGACGAAAAACAAGUAGAGGAAAAAGGAGAAGAAAAGGAGAAUGAGAAGGAAAAGGAAGAGAAAAAUGUUAGGAAGUUUUGGCCUACUAUUACAUUAGUACCUUCUUCUAAGUUGGUUUGUGUUUUUAAAUGUUGGGAUUCUUCUUCUAAUAUUAUUCAAUUGCCUAACAUUUCUUUAUGUCAUGAAGGAAACAAAGAGAAUGAAGAAACUUUUUCUCAACAAGUGGAAGAAAAUUAUGAGAUUUGGAACGAUGAUCAUGUCCAUAAAUCAAAAGUGGAUGAAAAGAAAACUAAUUCUUCCAAUAAAAGUGAAGAGCUCUCUAAAGUUAAAGUUACAUGUGAUGGAUUCCAUAGAUUUAUUUUUGACCCAGGAGGUAUUCAAGCUAUAAAUUCGAGGUCGAAUUCUCUUGAAGAGGGAGAGUAUGAUGUGAUCCUAAAAAUUAUCUCUCUUGACAAGAAUAAUAAAGUCAUUGUGGAAUAAAAGAACCAAAUUAAUUUUGGGUUCAAAGUUUUAUUUUCGUAGGUCAUGAUAUGUCUGUCUUGUUUUGGCUAUAUCUGGAGCUCUGGAUGUCCGUUUGAGGUGAUCUUUAACUCGUUGGAAAGCUUACGAAAUUCUCUACAUUUCAUCUAUUUGAUUCAAGAUCAAAUUCGGAAUAUUUAAUGGUGUAAAAUGAGUUGUAAGUUGAAAACGUGGUUAAAGUGUGUAAGCUGAAGAAUUAAAGGUGUUUGUGGAAUUGUAACGUCUAGAAAUAAUUAGCCUUCACAAAUCAAUGUGCAAAUGAAUAUGUAACCUCCUCAUGCAUUGAUUAGCCACCAGCUUAGAGAGUCAUUUUGUAACAUUUUAUUUGCAUUAAUCAGCCACCAAAACAUUAUUGUAAUUAGUGGUUGCAUUUCCUUUCAUUUUCUAAGAGUUUUAGAGUCAAAAUCAUCAUGUAAUAAGCUCAUAUAAAUAGAGCACGAAAAUGAUAUGAAAAAGAAGUUGAAUAUUAUAGAAUUUUACACAUAUGUGUAUUGAGAGCUUUGUCUCUUGUGGUUCUGGAUUGAACCAACCUUGAUCUUAUCAAGAAAUCAUAUUUCUUGUGGUGAUCCUCGCAUCCAUAGACUUAUCACUUUCUUGGAUUAGAAAGUGUGGCGUCCCUGUCUAUCCAUUACAUUUCUUCAUUUUUUAGUCUUUUCAUCAUUUCCACCAACAAUAUUCAUAAUUCACUUCCGACGGCUCCGUGACAUUCAUCACAUAUGGUUCCAAAGGGUUGGCUUUUUCUAAGUAUGGUCCUUAUUGGCGUAGUGUGAGGAAACUUUGCACUUUAAAACUUCUUAGUGCUUCAAAAGUUGAGAUGUUUGGUUCUAUUAGGAAGGAAAAGUUGGAUGUUUUGAUUAAGUCAUUGGAGAAAGCUGCUUUGGUGAGUGAGGUUGUGAAUGUUAGUGAGGUUGUAGAGAAUCUUAUUGAGGAUAUUGUGUAUAAGAUGAUAUUGGGUCGGAGCAAGUAUGAUCAAUUUGACUUAAAGAGGGUGGUUCAAGACGUAUUGGCUUUGGUUGGAGCUUUUAAUCUGGCUGAUUAUGUUCCUUGGCUAGGUGUAUUUGAUCUUCAGGUAAUUUUUUCAAGUAUAAAAUCAAAAAUAAAGGAUUAAAUAUCGAAUGUGCAAUUUUAGUCAUGAUCUUUUUAAUUGUACGACUUUGUUCUGUAAAUAUUGUUGUGAGAUAUUAGUCUCCACUUUUAAUCCUAAGCAUCAUCAAACAUCAUGGUUGUUUGUAAUUGAAAAGAGAAUGGUAAAUUGCAUGACACUAGCCAUCAUGAAUAAUUAUGAUGUACGAAUCAAGGGUACUUCUGGUUGGUGUUAGAGGGAGAGGGGGUCUUUAGAGGCCAUGGUCUGGUCCCUCCUAUAUUUUUAAUAAUUUUUUUAUUUAUAUACUAUAAUUAAACUAUAUUAUAAUAUUUCAUAAAAUAUAUUAGGCUAUAGUCCCCUCAAUUGAUUUAAUUAAAACGUUCACCAUAUUAUUAGAUUUAUUGACAACUAGUAUUAUUAGUUUGAUAUGUUAUAUUUUAUUUUAAAUUAUCUCACAUUGUCCUUUCCUCAACAUAUUUUAAAUGGAAUAAAACACAAUGAUAUAGCGUUGCAAAAUAAAAGGUGAUUACAAUUAUUACCUUUUUUGAUAGUAAAUGGAUGGAUAAAUAAAUGUUAAAGACGAGUUAAUGUUAUGCUUAUAUGCAUUUGUAUAUAUUUUGACUAUAAAUUUAGAUCUUUACGAAUAAUAUUAAUAUUUUAUUUAAUUAUAAUAAAUAAAUUAAUAUAUGUGUAGUGGUGUCAAUGUCCUAAGUUAUUUACAUUAAUAGUGUUGACGUGUCAGGUGUUCGAGUCAAAGUCCAUGCUUCAUAGAUUAAGUGGUUUGAGUUAUGUAGGUUUUGAUUUUGUAACAUCAAGAAACUUGAUUUAAAUUUGACUAAGAGUUGUAAAAUGAAUAUUAGUGUCACCGUUAUUGAUAAUAAUUUUUUUAAAUGAUAAAUAACAUUUAAAUCAAAAAUAAAAAUCAUAUUUUAAUUUUGUGUGUUUUCAAUUUUUGUAUGCUCAUAUGGUUCUGUUAAAUUAGGUGAAAAUAUUAAAUUAGCAAUUGACAUUAUUAAUUUAACACUUUGUAUAGGGAUUAACACGAGCAUGCAAGGAAACGGGUAAAGCAAUUGAUGAGGUGUUGGAAGUUAUUUUAACAGAGCAUGAACAAACCACUAAUGUAGACAAAAAUCGCCAUGAAGACUUUGUUGACAUACUUCUUACAUUUAUGCACCAAACCAUUGAUCUAGAAAAUGAAGAAAAUCAUUUCAUUGAUCGAACUAACAUCAAGGCAAUUUUACUAGACUUGACUGUGGCAGCAAUUGAUACAUCUGCUACCGUGAUUGAAUGGGCUUUAUCCGAACUUCUAAGACAUCCAAGGGUAAUGAAAAUCCUUCAAGAUGAGAUACAAAAUGAAGUAGGAAAUGAAAGAAUGAUUGAAGAGAAAGAUUUAGAGAACUUAAGUUACUUAGAGAUGGUGGUUCAUGAAACUUUAAGACUUUACCCUGUUGCACCCUUAUUACUCCCUCGUGAAUGUAGAGAGAGUGUAACAAUUGAUGGAUAUUUUAUAAAGGAAAAGACUCGAGUUAUAGUAAAUGCAUGGGCUAUAGGGAGAGAUUCAAAUGUUUGGUCAGAAAAUGCCGAAGAAUUUUACCCAGAGAGAUUCAUUGGCAAGAAAAUGAAUUAUCAAGGACAAGAGUUUGAAUCUCUACCAUUUGGUUCUGGCCGCAGACGUUGUCCUGGAAUUCAAUCGGGUUUAGUGACCGUUAAGUUGGUUAUUGCCCAAUUGGUGCAUUGUUUUGAUUGGGAACUUCCAUAUAAUAUCAGUCCUUCCAAUUUGAAUAUGGAGGAGAAAUUUGGACUCACUAUACCAAGAGCUCAACACUUGCAUGUAAUACCGACUUAUCGUUUGGCAUGUGAUGACAGGGUUGAAUAGGUUCAAGAAGGACAAUAUUAUGCUUGUAUGCAAUAAGUUUAUUACUAUAUUAAAGGACAAUCUUAAAACCCUCUUUUAUUCUACUAACCCUCUCUCAUCAUGUUUUUUGUAACUUGGUUUCGAAUCCGUACGCGGGUUCGCUGGAUUGCGCUCAUGGUGAGAGUUAGUUUGUUAGGAUUGAUUAGGGUAGUUUCAUUUUUCUGUUUUACACGAUGUAUUUCCGUUUGGGUUAUUUCUGGGUCAGGUGCAAUGUCCCCCCAGCUCUUUACCUUUUGUUCUUUUAUGUUAUUUUAUUUCUAUUUUUGCUAUAAAAAAAAAAAAAAAAGUAUAGUAGGUCUAAUGGUAUUUUUCGAUGAUUCUAGGGUGAAGAGAACUAGACUUGCUUUUCUACAUUUGAGCACAUACUUUAAAUAAUUUGAAGGAGCAUUUAUACUUUAAAAUAGACUACAUAAACAAAAUGGAUGAUUUUCAUACUAUUUGUUAAAAUUAAAAAUUAUUUUUCAAAACUAGAUAUCAUAAACUUUCCAGUAAAUGGUCAGUUGCUUAAUUCUGACACCGUUUUCUAUAUUAAUAUAAUCGAUGAAGUUUAUGAUAAAAUGCAGAAAAAUGUGAGAAAAUGAUCAAUAAUUAAAGUAUGCAUACCAUAUUAUUUAUAUUUUCAUACAGGUUGCAAAAUGAUUUCUGUUAUCAAAAUAUGUUUUGAGCUAUGAGUUCCUUAGAAGACUAGACAAAAUAAGGAACCAAGUUGUGAGCCUCCCAUUUAUGGGGAGGACAAGUUCCAUGUCCCAGCAUACUAACUUAUUUAACUUAAUGUUUUAAUUUACUUUAAGAAGAUAUUUAAUUGCAUUUGCACCCAAAACCAAUGUCUUAGUGUUCAAGAGUUUUAGAGUUUGAAAUUCAUAGCACUAUUUAGAUGAUGCGAUGUGAAGGUACGAACUUAAUAAAUAAAGACAGUGAAAUGUUUGUUGUAAUUUAAACCUUCAACAGGUAAGGGGACCUACUCACAUGCUAAGAAUAAUAGAUAUGUUUGGUUAUAUAUACCGUUGGUGUACACAUCUGAUGCGGUGUAUUCUAUGAUUCUUGUAUACACAGGUCAUUAGUUUAUUACUAUAAAUAUAAUAAUUUUUUGUUUUAAUUUCUCUAAAUUUGUUUUUUGAUUGUUAGUUAUGAAAAAUAUUUUAAUCACCAUUUUUUUUUUAAAGAAAUAUGAUUAUAACAUUUCAUUAAUAAUAAAAGAUUCAAUACAAUCAGGUAUGUUAAAAUAAACAAUGAGACUAGUUAGAAACGUGACUUCUCUUACAAGCACAUGAGCAACCAUAUUUGUUUGUCGCCUAGCAAACUCCAUAGAGUUGGUAAAAGAAGAGCUGAAUAGAGAUCGACAAGAAGAAAUAAUGCAUGCAAAUCCAGAAAUGUCGUCUCGAGUAAUCUUGGAAUCAGUUUCAAAAUCAACAUUAUUUAUCAAAUUGCAUAUCACUCAACCAGUGCAUAGCACUAUGUAACAUGAAUGCUUCACCAACAUCAACCGAGUAAAUACAUGGAAAACUGGCAACUUUUGCCAAGACAAACGCACCUUCAAAAUCCCGAACACAAAUGUCAAUUCUAGUUUGGUUAAGAUUAGAUGAGAACGCAACAUUGAUGUUACACUUAUACCUACCUGACAAAGGACGUUCCCAGCAAUUGGAACCCGCGGGUCCUGUACUGCUAAUUGUAUCCAAAGUUGCGGCCGAAUGCUCCCCACCAUGAGGUUGUUGCGCUUGCUGCUGAGUUGUGGGAGCAGCUAUGCUAGAGGCAUUUGCAAGAUGCCAAUCGUUGACAAGUUCUUUGCACGCUCAACAAUCGUGGCACUUACCUAUAUGACAUCAUCCCAAACUUUUAGAUUACCAUGCUUCCAAAGGCUCCAUAAUGUUGCUGCCAACCGUUGGUUUUGUUCGGAAUAUAAUGUAUCCAAUAACAAAAUGAUAGUUUCAGUUGUUAAAGUAGUAAAUUGAAUAGCAUGUUGAAUAGCUCCCCAAAUAUUUGUCAUAUGCCAUACCUGGACAUGAUCAAAAGAACAAUAAAAAUAAUUAAGUGAGCAAGAUCCUCAUGGUUUGAGUUACAACUAACACAAUGUGUAGGACAUUGGAUUCCUUUAUCAAGGAGACGAACACGAGUCGGUAAGUAGCCCCGGCACAUACGCCGCACUAAAUUUUUAACUUUAGGAGGAACCUUAACCUGCAAAAUUCCUGACCAAGAACCUGGACAACGAGAAUGAGAAGAAACAACGGGCUCGUCCAAACAAAGCGGAUAAUCACUACACACAGAAUAACGACUAUUCUUUUCCGCUUUCCAGAUUAAACGAUCAUCUUGGAACUAGGCAAUAAGUGGCGUGUUAAAAAUCUUAUCAGCUAUAUCAACACUAAGAACCUAGCGAACUACCUCUUCAUUCCAGCUCUAGUCGUAUAGAUUAAUCAAAUUAUUAAUGGUAACAUUCUAACCAAAACGAGCUCCUAUAAUACUUCCAUCAAUACACUCUCCGUCAGAUAACCAAGGGUCAUUCAAAAUAGAAAUAGAAGAGCCGAAAUCAAUACUCCACCAAGCACCUCCACAAACGAUAAAUCGGGUGCGCAGAAUGUUGUGCCACACAUAGCUAGGAUUGUGGCCAAGUUGUGCCAUGAGAUAGGUAUGGAAGGGAAAAUAUUGUGCUUUAAAAAUACAAGCGACAUGAGAGUCAGGUUCCAUAAGAAAUUCCUAACCUUGUUUACCCAACAUAGCCAAGUUGAAAGCGGGGAGGUCCUUAAAACCCAUUCCCCUAUGAACCUUGUGUACUAACAACUUCUCCCAACUCAUACAGCUAAUAUUGCGUUGUGUAGUUCUACCAUGACGCCACCAGAAGGAAUUCAUCAUCUCUUCGAUACUGUUAAUUAACGUAAUUGGUGAUAAAAAAAUGCUCAUAACAUAAAAAGGAAUGACCUGCAAGACAAAUUUAAUCAUAACCUCACGCCCUGCCUUAAUUAGUUAAGCAUUUACUACUCUAGGAAUUAAUUUUCUGCCAAACUCGAUCUUUGAUAUAAGCAAAAGUUGCAUUUCGAUCCCUAUACCAAUCAUAGAUGGUAAACCAAAUAUUUGCCGAUUCCCAAUAUCGCCUGAACCCGAAGAAUGUUAGUAAGAGUCAGUUUGAGAAGGUCAGGAACAUUUCGACUACAAUAAGUUUCAGACUUAGGCAAACUAAUGGCAUGGCCUGAAGUUAAUUCACGUUUAAUCACCAAUUUUAGUCCUUACUUUUAAGUCAAUUCAUAUGUAUCAUUCAUGUUUUUUAAUGAAAAUUACCAAGAAUGUUUACAAUAUUAUAAGAAUCUCUUCAAAAAAAACAAUAAUUUAGAAAGAAAAAAAAAAGAAUUAUAUAUGUAUUUGUAUGUACCAAAAACAUAAAAAAUAAAAUCAUGUUUGUUAAAAAAUUCUAAAUUUGUUUGGAAGAUAUUCUUAUAAUUGUUGAUAUAAAAUCUAAAUCCCCAUUUUUAGUUUUAAAGAUAACAAACUAAUUAAAUUAAACUUUAUUAAUUCUGAUUUUAAUUGUUAUAUAACUUGUGCUCUUGAGUAUCUUUUUUAAGUUAAAGGUAUAAAAGCAUUGUACAAUUAUCAAGGAAAGCAACAAGUUAUGAUGGAGAGAUUGAUCUCAAGCAUUGGUUUCAAAUAUGGAUUUAAUGUUCAAAUAAGGCCAAGCACGUACAGGGAAAUGGAAUGUUACAUUUGAGGAAGCAAUAAAUAUUUCAAGCAUAAACUAUAUCAUGACAAGGAAAUAUUAUUUGAAGCUUACUACAAAUGAACAUAUGAACAAAAAGAACAUAUUUAAUGUCAUGUGCAAAAAUAGUUGGCAUGAGAAUGACCACUAUAUUUUCGACAACACAUCAAGAGUGUAAGACAAAUACAAAACUAUGAACCUUUGGAUAUUCACUUUAUGGUCACCUCACAACAUGACAAGAAAGCUGCCUAGUACAAGAAAAGCCUUUUCUUUGGGCUCAAGUCUUAUGGUACAGCAACAAGUGAAAAGGAAAUGAGCUGUACAAAGCUCAUGUCUCACGUAGCAAGCAACAAAGUACAAAGGAAAGCUUCAGCAGAUUUAGAGAUCGAUCUCAACUUUGAAAGGAACAGUUCCAUCUCAAAGGCUCCCUUGAAUCUUGUGCUGCAAGAAAGGAAGAAUUUAACAAGGGUUUUUCUCCUAUAAAUAGAAGACUCCAGCAAGUGAGAAAAACAACUUUUGAGCAAAAGAAAAAAGACAACAUUCUUUAAGAAUUUCUUUGUUUACAAAUCACUCAAGAAUCAUAUCUUUGUUUUGAGCAAGCAGCUCUUUUGUGUAUUAAAUCUUUGAAGAAGUUUAAUACUUUCAAAUACUAUUGUAAAAGAAUCUGCAAGUGUGCAGAAAGGUUGUAAAAAUUCUUGCUCGUAACGGCAAGUGACUUGACCAAGUGAAGGUUGAAAGAAAGUGUUGUAUAGAUCAGAAAGAUCUAAAAAGAAAGAAGGAAUUGAGAUUAAGUCAUAACUCAAUUACCUAGUGGAAAAUCUCACAAGUAUUGUGGGGACUGGACUAACCCACGUUGGGUGAACCAGGAUAACUCUUUUUGUGUGAUCCUUCUUCCUUAUCUAUUUUUAUUUGCACUAAUCACACACCUUCACUAUAUCUAUUUAAAAUUCCAUUUAAAUCACUAACGUUUUUUUGUUGAGAAUUUUUAAUAGGUAAUUUUUAUUACAUCACAAUUCAAACCCCCUUUCUUGUGAUAAUUAUUUAUCUUCAAUAAUACUUUAUGAAUUUCUGAAAAUUUAAUUAAAAAAUAUGAAGACUACACAAGAGUUCACUUAAAAGUAGAGAUCAGAAGUAUUGAUGAAAAUUUUAAGAAGACUAAAUAUUGAAGAAAUUUUUAGAGGAACUAAAACUAAAAAUUAAUAUAUUUAUAAGGACUAAAAACAUAUUUAACCAUAUCUUUUAUUCUCUAUUCAAAAUAUACCGUAUUAGAUUGCUUUCUUUAAAGAUUAUCGAUAUAAAACAUAAUUAAAAAUUAAUAAUUAAAUAUAAGUGGUUUCAUAGCCAGUAGUAAUAUAUUCAUUUUGAUGUCUUAAAAAAAAUAUUAAUAAUUAAAUAUAAAUAUAAAGAGAAAAGCAUUUCUUUAUGAUGGGAAAGAAAAAAAAAUGUAUCAUGUGUCAAAACUCAACUCAUUUUAUUUUUCAACAAUAUUCUUCUCAUAUAAUUGUAAUGUUUAUACAUUUUAUUUUACCAUCAAUAUUCUUUUUUUACCGCCAUGAGAAUUACACCGACCAAGGAAACAUGUGGUCCCCGCCCAUAUCGCCAAAAUAACGUUGUCCAUUCUUUUUUUAAUGAAAUACAUGUAGAUUUGACUUUGUAUGGAGAGGUGGAGUUGUGGGACGCCUCAUCUAUGUUAGCUUGCUCACUACUCUCCACCUCAUCCACAUUCAGUCAGUCACCCACUACCUCAUAUGAUCAACUCUAUAAAUAUGGGGAUUUCCGGCCUCCAUAAUUCAUUCACUCCUUCUUACCAAAAAAACACUAAUAACCUAAGAGCUCCUCACUGUCAUCACCAUGGCCAGGAGGGUCUCUACUACUGUACACAGAACAAGUACAUUUUUAAUUUAUUUUUAGGCAAAUUCUAUGGUACACCUAAUAUAUUUGAGUGUAUCAGUACACUCACUCUUUAAAUUAAUGGUUAAAUGAGUUGUAUUUUGAAGAAAAAUAUUAUUUUCUAUCAUUUAUAUUUAUAAUAACUAAAUCUUAUUCGUCAGAAGUGUUAACGAAAUAAAAUUAAUUUUUUUUUUGAAUUUUUAGCACUCAUAAUUGAGAAUAUUGAUUAUAUUUUACGAUUAUAUGUAAAAAAAAUUAUUAUGAUUCCUAUAAACAAUGAACUGAUGUUUUUUCUUAUGAAAUAUAAAUAUUGAUAAAUAGUUAUUUAUUUCAUAAAAAACGAUCGUUAAUUUAUAAAAUUAUGAAGAAAGAGUACCGGUACACCUCAUUUUAUGAGUGUACCGUAAAAGUUCCCUUAUUUUUAUUGGAAAAAGGAAAUUAUUAAUAAUGGUGACAUCAAUGAACAUAUUACAAUUGUCCCACGUUGGGUUUGGACCAAUAUUUCAUUUGUGAUUACAGUAAAUCUCUUUCCACAGAUGUUGGACAUAAUAUCAAAUGUAAUAAUCAAACAUAUACUCUCUCCGUCCCAAAAUAUAAGCAAAAAUAGUUUAAACCAAAUACAUUAACUUUUGUUGUCUAAUUUUUGUUUACAUUUUGGGACGGGAAGAAAUACUCGUUUAUAAUUAGAAUAUUUUAUUUUAUAUAAAAAAAUGAUCAUUCAAAUUGAUUGUGUACAUCCGAUACAAACAUAAAUUCAGCAUUUCUAAAAAUGAAAAUAAAUUUAAGAAUAAACUCACAUCAUCCAAAUUAAUACCAUAAAACAACAACAAAAAUUAUAAAUAAUGUGACAAAAUUAAAGGAAUUGGAAUAUUCAUGUAUUCAAAUCUGCAAUUGACGACUUAAUCAUUUGUUGAAUCAGAAAUUGUUUGAAGUUGAUAUGUUUAUCUAAGUCAAAUGAACACUACACCCAGAUGAAAAUUCAAACAAACACUACAUCAAAACGAGAAAUCAAACAACGUCGCACUGAGAUGACGAAAUCAUAAAAGAAACUUAGGAAAAAUAUGUACUUUAUAGAAAUAUCUUCAAGUUCGCGCAUUGUACAUCUUUGUUUUUUUCCUUCAAAUCUGUUAGAAUAUUCCUAGGCGCCGCCAAACUCUUUGUCAUGUCGAUAACCUUUUCUUCUCCUCCGCUUUUAGUCUACCUGCAAGAAGGUGGCCGUCUAACUUUGGCGCCAACUCAUGGUUGUGCAUUCCACAAAGCAUUGCAAUCCACCAAUCUUUUGUAUCCUUAUCAAAGAAACCUUGCAACCUAAGCGAACAUUCCCAUUUCCUUGAGCCCGUGUCUUCAAGGUUUGGUUUCUUCCUCGUCUUAGGUGGCUUGUAUUCACCACUGCUUUCACAUUGUGUCGUCAAAUAUGACCUUUUUAAACUAGAUUUAUCUAUAAAAAUAGUAAAUCCGGCCCUUGCCACUUGUGGCCAACCUAACCAAGUAAAUCUUCUCGGUCUUUCCAUCUUUUAUUUGUUGUAAAAAACGAGUCGGUGUCUACUUCAAUACCACGAUCAUUGGUAGCCAUUUGUCAUGGUCUGACCUCUAUAAUAUAUUGUCUACAACAAUCACUAUAUACAUGUAAUUUUUUUUUUUUUAAAUUCAUUAAAUAAUUAUUAUAUCUAAUUUAUUUAUAAAUGAGAUACAUUAAUUAUUCAAUAAAACUAAAAAAUUAUUUUUUACUUGUAUAUUUAACCGACUAAGAAUGGAAGGUGGAUCCAGUUUUUGAGGGAUGAAUCCAUUCAUCUGCAGUGUCUACCUUUACUUCUUCAAUUUAAUUUCUUUGUAUAGUUAGUCUUAAAAAAGUUAUGUAGCGAAAUAGUUCAAUCUAUUUGAAUUAAUGGUUUAAAGGAAUUAAGGAGUUAAAAAUCUUGGUUCAAGUCUUAUAAGAAAAUAAAUUAACAUAGGCUUAAAUGCUCUUUUGGUCCCUUAACUAUUUAAUUGGUAUCGCUUUGGUCCAUUAACUAAAAAAAAGAUUGUUUGAGGAUUUUAAAUUUUUUUUAAGUCUCGUUUUGGUCCCUUCGGUUAGGUUUCCGUUAGUUUUAAUAAAAAACGUUAAGUGUGGACACAUGUCACCUUGUCAUUGGUUCUGAGAUUUUUUUUUUACAAAAAAAAUAAUAAUUUUUUUUGUAAAAAAAAAAAAAAAAACUCAGAGCCAAUGACAAGGUGACACUUGUCCAAGAGUUAACUUUUUUUAAAACCCUAACGGAAACCUAACAGAAGGGACCAAAACGAGACUAAAAAAAAACUUAAAGUCCUCAAACAAUCUUUUUUUUAGUUAAGGGACCAAAGCGAUACCAAUUAAAUAGUUAAGGGACCAAAAGAGCAUUUAAGCCAAUUAACAUAUUUGAUAUUUGUCAUUUUCUUUGAAGGAUUGAUAUUUGUCAUUUAAAAAUACUUUCUAUUAAGGAGAAAAAUACUUCAAUUAACAUAAUCAUAUUUUAUCAUAUCUUCUUGAGCUUAGCUCAGUUGAUAGAAACAAUGUAUAAUAUAUGCAAGGUUUGAGUCAAACCUCGACCACCACAAAAAAUAAAUCAUAUUUUACCAUCACGUCAUUUUAUUAUAUUAGUUUACUGUAAAUAUAUUUUAAAAGAAUUCAUGAAAAUCCCCUAAAAAAAGAAUUCAUAAAUCUUCUCCUACAUAAUAUAAUAUAUAUAUUGUAAAACAUGAUUCAACUUAUAUGUAAGUUUUUGUUAACGGAAAGCGAUACCAAUUAAACAAAUCAAAAUUAUUUGUUUCCACCUUUAUUUAACUAAUAAUUAUUCUAUCACUUGCACGGCUGCACCAUCUUCAAAUCCUCAAUCAAGCAACACUAAUAAUUCUUUAUAGUUCUCAUCCUUAGAACUUAGAUCCAAAGAAUUCACUGUAAACAUGUUUUCAACAACAAUAAUAAUUCCUUUCAUUCUCUUCACUUUCACAUACCUUUUAUUCAAAUUCUACUUACGUGAAAAACAAAACACCAUAAAUCAUAAAAAACCACCAGGUCCACCAACACUACCAAUAAUAGGAAACCUUCACAUGUUAGGUAAACUUCCACAUAGAACACUUCAAUCACUGUCCAAAAAAUAUGGUUCAAUCAUGUCCUUACAACUUGGUCAAGUUCCAACAAUUGUUAUUUCAUCUUCAAAAGCUGCAGAAUCAUUCCUCAAAACUCAUGACAUCAAUUUUGCAAGUCGGCCAAAGACUCAAGCAUCUCAGCUCAUUUUUUAUGGUUCCAAAGGGUUGGCUUUUUCUGAGUAUGGUCCUUAUUGGCGUAGUGUAAAGAAACUUUGCACUUUGAAACUUCUUAGUGCUUCAAAAGUUGAGAUGUUUGGUCCUAUUAGGAAGAAGGAGUUGGAUGUUUUGGUUAAGUCAUUAGAGAAAGUUGUUUUGGUAGGUGAGGUUGUGAAUGUUAGUGAGAUUGUAGAGAAUCUUAUUGAAGAUAUUGUGUAUAAGAUGAUAUUGGGUAGGGGUAAGUAUGAGCAAUUUGAUUUAAAGAAGUUGGUUCAAGAAGGAAUGGCUAUGCUUGGAGCUUUUAAUCUGGCUGAUUAUGUUUCUUGGUUAGGUCCUUUUGAUCUUCAGGUAUGUGUGUAAAAGUUGAAGAAAUUAGUUACCUAUUGACUUGAUUUUAUUUUAAGUCUCUUAAGUAUCGUAGCUGUACAUUUUUCAUUGGUCACUUUAUUAUAUUGCACAGUUUUGGGUCCUUCAUGUUUUUUCCUCUUAUGUAUUAAUUGAGGGGUCCUUCAAUAUUUUAGUAUUACAAGGGAGAAAAUAGGGAAGAAAAAAAAAGAGGAUCAUGUAAUUGAACAACACAAUAACACUAGGACACAAUAACACUAGGGUUACCGUCUUUUUUUUCUUCUUUCAAAUAUAUACGUAUGUGAAGAAACUAGACAUUGCAAGUUUAAAUUUAUGUUCUAAGGUGUUCCACAAAUCCUGCGUUAACUUGUAACCUCGUACAACUCGUACAAAUUUACGUUUUUAUGUGUCAAAAAUAUGUUAAGAGCAUGUUUGGCCCUGCUUAUUUGCCACUUAUCUUUUACUUCUAAAGAGAAGUGGGGCCAAACAUAAUUUUGAUAAAGCUCUUAAUAAUAGAAGUGACUUUUUUGUAAAGAAGGAAAUCCAACAAAAGUGACUUUGAAAAUAAGAUAAAAAAAUGAGCUUUGAGAGUGACUUUUCGGAGGUUAUACCUGCUUUUCCUCCUUCGAUUCCCGCAAGCCACUAUAUUUUUUAUUUUAUUAUUAUUUCUGGCAAAUCGGAGGUAAAUUUGAUUUUUGGUGAAAUUGAAUGUUUGACAAGUUUGACCAAGUUAACACAUGUUAAAUUCGGUAAAUUAGAUCGAGUUUAUGAGUUUACUUUUUUUUUUGGCAAACACUUUUUAUAUUUUUUAUUUUUUAUUUUUGGUCCCACUAUGUAAAUCUUAGAAAAUCAAUGUCAUGACGACCAUGUCCCUUAAUUAAUUCUAAAUUUGAGUAAAAAUAAUGGACUACAUAAAGUGACAGAAAAUGGAGGGAUUUGAGGAUUUGUGUGUUGACUUUCACUUUAGUCUCUAGAUCCAUGUUACACAUCCUUGUCGGCAUUUAACGGUCAAUUUUAACGUCAAGCACUAAACUAACCAACGGAGGUAAACAUCCGGGGACCAUUUUGCAUUUUAUCAUAAGUCAAGAUUAUUGUAACAGUGAGGUGCAAAGUCAGAGACUAAAAUGAUUAUUUCUUCAUUUUUUUAUUGUUCCAGUAAGGUAUGUAAAAAUAUCCAAUUAGUAAUUGUCAUUCUUAAUUUAACACUUUGCUAGGGAUUUACACGAACCUGCAAGAAAACCGGUAAAGCACUUGAUGAGGUAUUGGAGAUGAUAAUUACAGAGCAUGAACAAAGCACUAAUGUAGACAAAGUUCGUCAUGAAGAUUUCAUUGAUAUACUUCUCUCAAUUGUGCACCAAACGGUAGAUCCAGAAAAUGAACAAAGUGGUGUUAUUGACAGAACUAACAUCAAGGCAAUUUUACUAGACAUGAUUGUGGCAGGAAUUGAUACAGCCACUACCACGAUUGAGUGGGCUUUAUCUGAACUUUUCAGACAUCCAAGAGUGAUGAAAAAGCUUCAAGAUGAGAUACAAAAUGAAGUAGGAAAUAAAAGAAUGGUCGAAGAGAAUGAUUUGAAGAAGUUGAAUUACUUAGAUAUGGUGGUUGAUGAGACAUUAAGACUUUACCCUGUUGGACCCUUAUUACUUCCUCGUGAAUGUAGAGAAAGCAUAACAAUUGAUGGAUAUUUUAUAAAGGAAAAGACACGAGUUAUAGUAAAUGCAUGGGCUAUAGGGAGAGAUUCAAAUAUUUGGUUAGAAAACGCUGAUGAGUUUUAUCCAGAGAGAUUUAGUGAUAAGAAAAUGAAUUAUCAAGGACAGCAAUUUGAAUCUAUACCAUUUGGUUCAGGUCGUAGACGUUGUCCUGGGAUUCAAUUGGGUUUGGUUACGGUUAGAUUUGUUGUAGCUCAAUUGGUGCAUUGCUUUAAUUGGGAACUUCCACAUAAUAUUAGCCCUUCCAAUUUGAAUAUGGAAGAGAAAUUUGGAGUCACUAUACCAAGGGCUCAACAUUUGCACGCAAUACCGAGUUAUCGUUUGGAAUGUGAUGAGAAGCUUGAAUAGGUCCAUAAAGGACAUUAUUAUGCUUGUAUUCAACAAGUUUAUUACUAGUAAAGAUGUUAUAAGUUGGUCUAAUGGUGCUUGAAUAGAAUAAGUUAAUGAGUAUUGCUAGUUUUUAUUAUAUGUUAAUAGCCAACAUAUGAAUAAAUUAGGAGUGAAGAAAUUAGAGAAAUUAUCAGUUAAUUGCUUAUUGAAUAAGUGUUUAUCAUACAAGUGUUUAUGUAUAUGAUCAGUUAUUCCAAUAAUUAAAGUGAUAAUCCGGUCCACUAUUUUCAACUAACUUGUAACUGAUUUUCUUAAAUUUGUCAUAGAGUGCUAAUUCAACCUAUGACAUCAGGUUCACAAUGGUAUGAAGAAUUAGUUCACUGGUUUAUGCUUGCUUUGUAAUUGUUUUUAGAAAUUUGAAUUAAUAAUAGUCUCAAUUUUAAUUUCAUAAUAAUCAUGAGUAGAGAAUAAUGCCCAGUACCUUAUUGUAAUGAUACCAAAGUUUGGGUUUGGAAUCUCUCCGGUGGUCACACGAGAGUCCAGUGAAAUCUUGUCCAUUAAAAAUUAAUGUAUAUGAGAAUUUUAAAUGUUGAAAAUAAAAGAGAAGACAAUUAAUGGUGCAGAUUGUAUCACUGCAGAAAACUGGAGAGAUUUUCACAGGAGGAAAUCCAUUUCCCCAAAAUUUUAUUUGGAUUUGUUAGUUCAAGACAACUUUUAGGUUGUGAAAGUAUAAAUACAGAUUUUCAUGCAAUUAUAACAUAAGGGAUGCCUAAAAUUCUAGAAAUUAGAGGAACAAAUAAAUAAUUUGAUUAGAGGAAAUAUUGGAAGUAGUGUUUUCAUAGUACUGAAUAGUUUGAUUCACCAUAAAAAACUCCAUCAAUUUUAAAAAUUUAUCAUUAGCUGAGUUAAGGUUUGUAUCUCUGUUUCUUUGAUUAACUUCAUCUUAUUUGUCGUUCUACAAUCUCCAUAGUAACAUUCUAGUUUUGUUGUCAUGUGUGAUAUGUUGUGUUAAAAAAGCUUUAGAAUUUGAAGGUCUACCUCAUUUCUAGAAUUGAUAUUAGCAUGUUUGUGCAAGCGGUUGAUUUAUCAAUUCAGUGAUAAAAACCCACGUUUGAAGAGAAGCUACCUUUUGAAGCUUCUUUAAAUCACGUCUUUCCAGCACACUGGCGGCCGUACGUACGUCCGCUNNNNNNNNNNNNNNNNNNNNNNNNNNNNNNNNNNNNNNNNNNNNNNNNNNNNNNNNNNNNNNNNNNNNNNNNNNNNNNNNNNNNNNNNNNNNNNNNNNNNGGAGACAUCCCAGACACUUGGCAUGAUCAUGAUUGAACAGAGAAGCUUUGCACAGCUUGAUGUGUAGAGGUACCAGAGGAGUUGCGACGUUGCGGACAUCAAGUCUCGGAGCUUCUUCACACACUUCGAUCAUAUUCACAGCGGCAUGAUUUGGUAGCGGAUUGUCGAGGACAUGUGGGACAUUAUUCUCAAAAGUCAGCUUCCCUUGAUCGAUGAGCUUCUUCACGAUAUACUUCAAAGCAUAACACCCCUCGACGUCAUGACCCAAGGCACCUUGAUGAAAGUCACAUUUGAGAUCAGACCUGAACCUUGGAGGCAACGGAUCAGGUGGGGGCUUACCCUGUCUAGUUGUACAAUGACCUCUCUGGAGUAGAGUUGGAAGAAGUUCUGCAUACAACAUUGGUAUAGGAGGGAAGGUUGGCCUGGCUUGCUGAUUUUGUUGUUGUUGUUGAACCGGCAUCUGUUGUUUCAUCUGUUGGGCAAUUGCAUUGACGGGCACUUGAGGCUGGCCCGGCGGCAAAGGGUACUGAUGAUAAAACGGUGGGAAGAACGGAUGCUGAGAAUACGGCAUAUAUGGGUAUGACGGAGGCAUUUGAGCUGCAUUGAUAGGAGCAACAGUAGCCAUUGAUUGCCCGGCUCCAGCUGACACCAUCCCCACUUCCGUUUCUUUCUUUUUGUGGUGUCCAUUACCAUAUCUCUUCGACGCAUUCACAGAGGAUUCAGCUUUCUCAAACACGAUGAUUCCAUCCCUUACGGCUUCCUCAAGACGGGUUCCCAUGGUGACCAUCUCCGAAAAGUUGUUCGGGGCAGCGAUGAUCAUCCUCUCAACAUAAUCUUUCUUCAACGUUUUUAAGAACGUCUGGGUCAUUUCUUCCUCAUCUAAAGCAGGAGUGAUACGGGCAGCCGCCCCUCUCCACCUUUGCGCAUAUUCACGGAAACUUUCCUCCUUCUUCUGAGAUAGGGACCUGAGAAACUCCCUAUUUGGCCUCAGUCGAGUGUUAAACCCAUAAUGGCUCUUGAAAGCGGUGGCUAACUCAUCAAAGGUAUGGAUGUCAUUCUUACUCAAACUAGUAUACCACUCUGCGGCAUCCUCCAUCAGACUAUCCUGAAAACAGUGGAUCAUAAGGGAAUCAUUGUCUUUGUAAUUGCCCAUCUUCCGGACGUAUUUGAUGAUGUGAUUUUGAGGACAAGUUAGCCCGUUGUACCGGUCGAAGUCCGGAAUCUUGAACUUUUUAGGAACAUCCACUUUUGACACUAAGCAAAGGUCUUGAGUUUUGACAGAGUUUGCACUCCCUCGAUUGGCCUGGAUCUCGUGACGGAGUUCUUUAGCAAGUUCCUCCAUCAUCUCUUCCAUAGUCUUGGUUACGGGGAUGCUUCUGUGCUGUGUGUUGACGUUAAUACCUUGAGGCAGAGUGUGUACCAGAGGCUCAGUGACAGCUGCUGUUGUUUGUGGCAAAGUAGCAAUGAUGGAGGCGGCAUUUGUUGCAGGGAUCAGAACAUUGUUAGCAGUGCCCGAGGUGCUUGCUGUAGCAACGGGAGUGAAGAACGGUGGAAGCCCAUACGGAAACCCCACUGGCAUAGUAAAGCGGUUGUCUGCAGAAGUGGUAGGGAGCACGCUUGUAGUUACUGGUGCAGCUGUGGUUGUAGGGAUAGCUGUAGCUGAUUGCUCUUGAGCAGCUAGUAGAGCAGUCAUGACGUCAUUAGCUUUAGCCAAUUCCUCCUUUAGAGAGGCCAACUCGGUGCGAAGCUGAGCGUUCUCUUCUUCCAUAGCCCUUUUCUUUCUUCUGUAUUCUCUGGUUCGAUCAAUUCUAUCUGGUUCGUAAACUCUCUGAGCACGAGCCACUUUUCACACUGUGGCAGAGGAACCAGGAGAUAGUGAGCACUUGGAAGCCUUUGUGACCAAUGCAUGAUGCAUAUGAUGCAUGAUGUGCAAAUGCGAAUGCAAAAGACUUAUUUUUUUUCAUCGAAGGAAUUUUGAACCAAUUAGAAAUCUUUGCAAAUAAUCAAAACUACAUAGUAUUUUUUUUUAACAGGAAGACUUUGAAAUUUCAACAAGAUAAACACAUGGAGUCCUCAAGCAUAGGAAGUAGUCGGAGGAUCAUCGGACUCGGAAUCUGAAUCACAGUAUCUGGCAAAGAAGUCUCGUCGUCCUCGGGCUCUCUUGGAAUCCCUCAUAAGCAGCUCGUCUUUCUCUUCUAGUUCCCUCCGGGCCUUAGCUAGCUCUUUCUUCAACAUCAGAUUCUCAUGAGUCUUCUGCUCAUCUCUACCAUCCAAAGUCAUGAUUAGAUUCUCGGCUUGAUUGUACCGAGCCUUCCACACUUGCUUCUCACGACUCUCCAUAGCUAGAUGCUCCUGAUACAUAUCCUGAGUCGCGGGGAGCAAAGGUAGAGGCAUAGAUGGGGUAGAUGAAGACACAUAUCUCAUAGCUGGAUAAGGCAUACCAAUCUCCUCAGCUCGAUCUAUCACCCACUGGGUAUAGGCCUCAUGAGCGACACCGGAUCUCACACCUAGAUGCUUCACACUCUUCCUUCGAACCUUGGACCAAGCAUCCACGAAAGCUUUCCUUUGUCCGGUAGGAGCAUUCGUGUAGAAGAAGAACUCUGGAGAUGUGGCAAGAUUGAUGGGCUUCGACUUCAUAGGGAAACCAAACUGUCUCAUAGCAAGCUCGGGAUUGUAGUUGAUUCCUCCACGAGUACCAAGAAGAGGUACAUUGAGAAAGUCUCCACAACCCAUAAUGAUUUCCUUCACUUGAGCGGCAGGAGUGAGCCAGACGACCUCAUCAGGAGUGAGAGCCAUAAUCCGCUGAGAGUAGGACCAAUUUUCCGAGUUAUCAUGGAAGGAACUCGGAAGGUGCGAAAUAAACCACCUAUACAAAAGAGAUGUGCAGCAAAGAAUAUACCCACGGCCCUUGAGAGUCCUGUCAUGAAUGGCGUGGUAGGUGUCCGCUAGCAAAGUAGGAACCGGGUUCUUAGAAUGAAAGAUCUCGAUAGCAUUCAUGUCCACGAAGUUGUCAAGGUUCGGGAAGAGAAUGAGCCCGUAGAUAAGCAAAGCAAGAAUAGCCUCGAGUGUGUCCUGGCGAGUGGUACCGAGAUUAGCCUGAUCAAGAAGAUACUUCGAAGUGAAACCCCGGAUGUGAGACUUGGUAAUAAGAUGGUUGGAGACGUCGGAAGUCUUGAGGUAGAGAUCCUUAGCAACAACCAGAGGAGUAAGAGGAGUCCCGGGACCGGCGAAAGGCGUCUUCUCGGCUAUAGGUAACCCCACUAGAUUGGAGUAAGCCUCGAGAGUAGGAACCAACUGGAAGUCCGGGAAAGUGAAGCAGCGGAAGCUCGGAUCAUAAAAUUGCACCAGAGUGUGCAUUAGCUUCUCGUCCACAUCGGUUCGGAGCAAAGUAAGCAAUCCCCCAUACCGGAGUCGGAACCCUGUUUGACUCUUGACCUUGAGCGCCAACUCUCUCAAACUAACCAAAUCCACUUCCUUGAACUUGUAGCACUUAGUCUUCUUCAUACCUGUGAUUAUUUACAAAAAUUCUCAUUUGUUUAAACCCUUCGAUGAAUGCAUGAAAAAUAUUUAUGCAUGAAUGCAUGUAUGCAUGAUUGUGUUGUUUAGUUACAAUGUGGGUUGAGAUUCAAAGUAACAAGGCCACGGAUGGACACGGCGUCCGGUGAACUAAGGCUUUGGAUAGUAGUAACCAAGGUUCUAACACAGUUCCCAAACUGCAACCUCUCUCACAUAUAUCAUGGUAGUACAGGACGACACCCGUUCCACGAUUAUUUGUGAGAAGGUCUAGUUUGAGUGUAGUAUCGCGUGACGACUAAAGUUUUGAGACAACACUCAAUUUAGCCACCGCACUACGUCCUAAAAAGGCUAGGAUGGGUUUGGUAACUACGGUUCAUAGCUUCGUCGAACAAUUGAAAGUGAAGUGCCUAAGCAUGACGACACACGCCGACAAUAUCACCUUCAAAAUGCCUCAGCUAUGUGAGAUUGAUCGCAUAAUCCAAUACACGAGGCAACCCCCGGAUCGAAUUGUCGAUUAUAUCUCUACCUAAACAUAAGUUCACUCAGCCCGGGUAUAGGACUUUUGAUAUUCUCACCCCACACGUCAAAUGAAAGUAAACAAAUAUUCACAUAUGUAAGCAAUAAAAUAAAACAUAAAUAUAAACUAAGGAAAACUAGGCGCGACCCGCUUAAAAAAGUCCCCAGUGAAGUCGCCAUUUCUGUUAUCAUGGUUUUUGGGUACCAAGUCAUUAAUUGGACUUGUACCUUUCGACCGUUGAUAUCUCUCUUUUUUCUUGGGAAGGGAAAAAUUGAGAAAAAACCCUUAGAUUCUAAGUUCGGGGGUCGGUUUUACUACGGGAAGGUGUUAGGCACCCGGAGUAACUAUAGUCCUCUAUAGGAGCCGUUUUCCUAAGUCGAUUUUUACGCUUUAUUUUUACCUACUUUUGAAAAUGGGAGGUUUAUUUAGUUAAGAGUGGGGGUGAGAAGAAGUAGAAUUUUGAUUUUAUUUCGGCUUGGAUGAGUUUUGACUCAUUGCCUACGUACCCUUUUAAGGGAUCAAAACCGUUCGUAGUUCUUGCUAAAAAGACUUGUUUUUGUUUUAAUUGUUUGAUUUUAAGUUUUGAAAAUGGUUUUGAAGAAGGAGAUUGGGAGGCUUCAUGAGCAUUAGAUUUAGCAAAAAGUGAGGUUUGAUUAGUGAUUAAAAAAGAAAGUCUAAAUGAUUAAGAUGAAUUGAAUUUUUCUCAAGAAAAAAAAGAAAGGAAAAGAAAUGAAGUGUUGACUUCAUGUUUAUUAUGAAAAUUUUUGAAGUGAAGUUCAAUUGUUUUUUUUUUGGAAAAAAGAUGGAUUUUCUCUAGGUGUUUAAAACCUAAACGCUUAUUUAACCAUACAAUCCUAUGCAUACAUCUAAGGUGAGUGUGUGCGUGUCGGUGCGUCAUAGUGUCCAUAGUCCAUAUUACAAAAAUUGCCUAAAUACAUUCUAUGGCCCCUUUGCCAAGCUACAAACCAAUGAUGACAAAUUACAUCACUAAAUGAAUUAAAACUUGCAAAAAUAAAUGCUAGGCUAAAGAGGGUGGAGGGAAUGCUAAAUGGGAUGCAUGAAACAUGGGAAUAAACUUGUUAGUCAAAAGAAAAAACAUAAUAAGCACUAAGAAAUAAAAUCAUGCAAGAUGACACAAAAAGUUAACAAAAUGACAUUAAACCCUAAAAACUUAGGUAUGAAACCUAAAGCAUCCUUGGCCUCUAAUUCUCAUGCUUUAACAAAUUUUGAAAGAGUUUUCUUUAUCUCAAGUUAUAGCAUGAAAUUAUUGGAAACAUGCAAGCAUGGUUUCAUGCCAUAUUUUCUAGAAUAAACUUGGCAUUUUAUAUCUUUCAAAAUAUGCAUAUAUUGCUCAUAAAAUCAAGCACUCAUGAACCAAAUCAAAACAGCAAAACAACACGAAAUUAUAGGCACAAAUUUCUCAUAUUAACACAUCAAAAAGCUUUUAUCACAUAUUCGCACAUCAAGGACAAAUGUAUGAAGAAGAAUCCAUAACAAAUAAUUCAAAGAGAAUUAAAAUGCUAUGAAUUAACCAUACCAAAAUUUCAUAGAUCCUUAAUGUGCAAAAAUGUCAUAAAAACACUAAGAAAAUAUCAGGAAACAUGCAUGAAUUUUUCUAGGAAUUUUAUCACAAUUUUAAUCAAGACAUAGGUACAGGUAGCAAAAAUAGAGGUGUGAAAAGCACAGGAAUAGCAAAACGUAAAGAUCCAAAGGAAACAAAGGCCCAACCCAAAACCCUAAGGAACCGGAUUCACAGGAGCCACAGGAUUGAUCCAGGGUCCUGAAACCCUAGAUCAAACGGCCUGGAAUCAACAGGAUUGGACCGGUCUUGGACCGGUCUGGUUCACUAGCUUAUUUAAAAGGCAUGGCACCGGUUUUCUUCAUUUUUCACUCCCCUUUCUCUCUCUAGCUCUUCUCUCUUCUCUCACCUCUCACCUCUCUCUAAACCUCGCCGCCGGCGAGGAUGAAGCUACGGCGGAGACCUUGAAGGUCCGCCGGAAACUUCAUCUUCUCCGGCGAGUUCAUGCAGUUUCCGGUGACCUAAAUUUCCAGAUUUCAAAGAUUCUUACUUCGUUUGACUCGUCCUUUAACCCUAAACACGAAUCCGGCAUUUGUUUUUUCAAAAACGGCUUUGAACGACGUAGAUCUUGAAAAAGCUUUUACGGUUUUGAAAUGAUUUUUGAUUUUUUUGAAUGAGAUCAUUUAGAUCUUUAAAGAUCUACAUCGUUUCGUCGUUUGAUUACUUUUUGACGCCUGUUUUCGCUUUCAAAACGUUGAUCCUUACGGAUCUGGAUUUUGAUGUUUACGGUUAUAGUUUUCUUUGAAUUCUGGAACCUUUGGAUCUGUUUUGCUUGCGUGAUUUUUAGGUUUAACAGUGAUAUUGCUUUUGAAAAAGAGUAUGAGUUUUACCUAAGGUUUUGGUUGAAACCUUUAAUGGAGAAAUUCUUUGGAAAACUUCAAUCUCUGAUGCUACGUGAUUUGGCUUUGAAUCCGGAAAUAAACCGGUGUUCCUGCUGGUUUCUUGCUUUAUCGCCUUCUUCGCCGGUUUAAACCUUCAUCAUCUUUCUUUCUUCUUCGUCUUCCUCACUGUAUCUUCGUGAUCGGUGCUGGAGUUUGCCUUUGGCGAAUUCGCACUUCGAAUUGCGAAGAUAUUGAUUCAAUGAUGAUGAUUCUUCAAAGAAUCACUGAGAAUCCAUGAAAAAUAGCUUGAAUUUGUGUAGUUUCUGUUUCUGGAAAACGGUUAGGUUUUUUGUUCUUGGUGUUCUUGAUGAAUCUGAGGAAUUUUUUCUGUUUUGAUUCAGUUGCUGAGAAAGAGAAAAUUUGGAAUGUGUUUAUGAGUUGGCGUGUGUUCUCUGGCUCUGAGUGGCACUGUGCACCUUUUAUAGCUUGACAUGUGUGUAUCUGAACAAAUGAGAAAGUGACACCUGGACCUGAAAAAAAAAGAUGGCACGGCCUUGGGCAAAAAAUGAAAUUGGACCUUUCUGCAAAAUUGAAAAAAUAAGGGACUAAACUGCAAUUGACAAAAAGGACUGAAAUGUAAAAAAAGAAAAUUCUGGACUGAAAUGCAAUUUUGGGACCUCACUUGAGGGACCAAAAUGCAAUUAAAAAAUAAAAUUGAAUAAAAAACGUAAUUUGACCCAACGUAAAGCGAAACAAAAAAAUAAAAUUGACAAAACGGACUAAAACGAACCAAUGGCCUAAAUGAGGUACUUCAAAGUAACCUCCCCAUGCCAAAAUUUUAUGUGAAAUGACCAAAAUGCCCCUAGGGCUAAAAACGACCUAAACAGAUUCAAAUUGACCUGACACUGACUCAGACGCAAGUUUGAAAUGAAUUUUAACAAAGUUUACUGAUGAAAUGUUUAAAAGUAAUCUGAAAAGACUCAGAGACAGUCACAAGGAUGAAAAUGGGUCCCACUGCAGGAAAUGACCAAAAUACCCUUCUGUAUGACUUUUUGCAAAUUUUGGAAUAAACUGUAGAAAAAGCAAUGUAAUGAUCCAGAGACACUUUUGAAUGACUUACAAGACAAGUAAAGACAUUUUGAAAGGUUUUAUGCAAGAAAAACAUAGGUAAAAUUGUGAUUGAAAAUACUGCGAGGCAGAGACAAAUUGAACUGUGCAGUUGAAAUUUGAUAAUUGACAAAGUUUGAAAUGAAAUUGGGCCCAGUAUUUUUAGGUCCAAAAACAGGGUAUAACACCUCUAAUCCCAACAAAGGAGAUUUAGCUACUCAUUGUCAUGGAAGCCUUGCAAGAAUGAAUUGAAGAAGCAAGAUUCAUUACAACUUGUGAUGUCUCAACAAAGGAUGAAGAAUCCACUCUCUAUCACUCUCACUCUAUAAAGCACAAGCCCUAUCUCUCUCUCUCUAAGAAUAUUACAAGUGAAAAACUAAGAGAAAAACUAUCUAAAAACUAUAUAAAAAACUAUCUUUUUCUGAAAUGGUUGAGUGGGCUAUUUAUAGAAUUCUGAGUCUGCCUUCACUCGCCUCGCGAGCUGCUUCAUUCGCCAAGGCGAGUUGAAGUUUCUUCCCCAUUGGGUUUGUGCCACGUCAGCAUUUAGAGGCUAAACCGCCCUUACUCGCCUCGCGAGUCCUUCCAUUCGCCACGGCGAGUAAGCUCGCCUUCUACUCGCCAUUGCGAGUUGGUGGCGUGUGAUCUUUGUUGCAUUCUGGAAUUGCUCGCCUUUUCUGCUUGCCAUGGCGAGUUGGAGGCGAGUGAUCUCCUUUUUCUGCCUUUUUGUACUUUUCUCGAUUUUCUUCUCUUUGCUUGAUGUCUUGAGUUCGAAUCCUGCACAAAUGGGUGAAGUAAGAUAGAUAAAGCGUAAAAGGGCAAUAAUCACUUAUUUCUCGGCUUUUCCCUUAAUAACUUGCAAAACAAGUAACAAAAGUGCCUAAAAUAUAUCACUUAAAUUACAACUUUCUAGCACUUAUCAAACUCUCCCCAACUUAACUCUUUGUUUGUCCUCAAACAAAAUCUUGAAAAUCAAACAAGUUAAUAUGACAAGACACAAGUACAAAAGGUUUGAAAACAUUUUUAGAUGAAUGAUUCAAAGAGAAUGCGCGGGCAAGUCUGAGUUUCCAACUAAUCUGGAAUUCUACCACAAAUAUGAAAUGAGUUCUAUGCACAAAGUUCAUGUCAAAUAGUUCAAGUCAAUAAAACAUUUAUUCACGAACCACACCUAACACACUUCUUUGUAAGUAGAUAUGCAAUUGAAAUCAAAUGAGUGAGGGUUAUGAACACACAUCCGGCAAUCAAGUUAACAUCCAAAUCAAGUUAUAUGUCCAUCCAAUUAUCAUUUCAAAAAGCAUAAAAACAUGGAUCAAAAGGUCUUUUAGGGUUGUAAUUUGGCUUGGCUACAAAAGAAAGGACAUUUGUGGGUCAAUUGAAUUCAAAUGGUCAAGCAUAAGGGAACAUUCCUUCUAUUCACAUUCAAAAGACAAAUUUACUAGAAUUCCCUAACAAACCCUUGGUGUUAAAACAUGAUACUCCUUGAUCUUGACAACUUAUUCUAUUUUUGGAUUUUUCUUUCUUUUUCUUUUUCUUCUUUUCUUGUUUUUAUCAUGUACACAUUUUUCUUUUUCUUUCUUUUUUCAUAUACAAACAAUGUUGUCUUGAUCAAAAUUUCUGAUUACACCAAUUCACUUGACAAAUGAUGAACAUCUACCUUUUCUCCCCAACUUGAAUGAAAACAUACCCUAUUUGAAUGUUCCCUUAAUCUAUGGCAAAAAGGGACAAAUAACAAUGAAGGUUUAGGGUUCAACAAUUAAAACAUAUCAAGGUCCGAUAGUGCAACAAAAAUGAACUGGAUUUUGAAAAAUAUAGGGCGAAUUCAUCAAGCAUUGUGCUUAUGAAUUGACAGUUCAUAAUUGAGGACCUUGCUUCAUUUGGCUCAAGUGGGUUAACAAAUACUCGCUCUUCUCACAAGGUAGGCUAUUUGUGGUCAAGUAUGUUUCUCUCAUUAAACAAAAUAUGCCUUGAUCCUUUCCAUGUCUUUACACAAUUUAAAACAAAUAUUAGAUUUAACAUAAAAUGACCGAGUUAAAACAAUGAAUGCCGGUCUCCUUGCAUAUAGUACAAAUAUUUGAGGUUUCCUCACUUUUUAGCUAGUACUAAGUGGUUCACAAACAAACACAUUAUCGAGGAGAACUAAAUGAAUUGAAAUUUGUGCAAAGUACUCGUUUCCUAUUCAAGUAAAAACCUAGAAAAACUGGAAACUUGUACCUUGGCUUUGCGCUUUAUCACAAACCAUCUGUUAUUAUCAAUCAUCUGAGAAUUUUGCUCAAGUUUUGGCUCUUUCAAGCGCUUUGAAAUUUGAAGCUUUGAGCAUUUUCUUUUCAAUAAGCAAGAGUGAUAAACUAAAGAAACUUCCACAAUUUUCAAAACAAAGUACUUGAUAUAAACCAAAAGUGCUAAUAUAAAACAACACAAUACAACUUUGAACAAUACGAAUAUGAAUACGAAAAUACCAAAAUAAUUAAACAAAAUGCUAACUAAACAAAGUGAGUCAUUGUGCUAAAUUUAAAAUAUGAACAGAAGCAAAUAUUGUCAGAAGAAAUGAAAGAGAAAGAAAGAAUAGACUGAAAGCUUUAUAAAAAUGUCACUCAAUAAACGGUGAGCUUUCAAAGUCAUUCUUUUCCUCUUUCAACCCUGCAUGUCAUGAUCAUCUGAACCACCAGUUGCACUUGGGACUCUGUCUGGAUCGUCUCUGUCAGAAUCUCCCAUCAAUAUAUCGUCAGAAAGCGUCCCGAACGAUGAUCCACCCCCUCCGUAAGGAUCUGGCCUGCCCUCAGGCCAAGAAACAUGAGCCUGAUAGGCCUCUGGUGUCAUGAAUUGUGACAUCACCUCCGGUGGGUACCCAGCCUGCUGCUGCAUCACAUACUGAGACUGCUGAAGAUAUGUAUUAGCACGGUUGGUUGCGUCCAGCAUGUUCCAUGUAUGGGUAUGGCACUGGUAUUGCCAUUGAGCGAAGCUUGAAAAGUCAAAAGCAGCAGUGUGUGGGUCUAGAUGUGGUGGAAAGUGGGGUUGUGGUUCAGAUGAUGGUUGAGGUCGUGGUGGAGGUGCCCCAGAAGAUGAUGCUUGUUUGCUUUUAUCCUUCUUUGUUUCACCCAUAAUGUAUCGGGUGAUGAAAGCAUCAUUGAUCGGGUUCCGGAUCUUCUCAUGGACACUGGUUGGUAGGCGCAUGCCGGUAUCUUUAAUGAGUCCCAUGAUUAAACCGGGAAAAAAGAGACGAGCUUCUCUUUCACCUCUUCCUUGCAGGGUGACCAUUCGGAGUUCCCAAGCAAUGGUCCGGGCAAUAUCUACCUUGAUCCCCUUGAGGAUGUAGUAGAUUAAAGGACACACCUCGACAACACAAUCAGACAGAUGACUAUUGGGCCUGACAUUAUAAAGAAUGAAUUUUUGGAUAAUUUUGGCCUCAUUGGUCAUGAAUUUGUAUUGGGCCCGAUACUCUCUCCCUGCAUCACUGAUGUCAUAGUUAUAGUCUCCCAACAAGAGAAAUCGUUUGAUUUCUUCAUGGGGGCCCGGGAGGAUAAAGUGGCCAAGGUUUUGCUUCUCAUGAAAGUCAUCAAGGUCGUCUGGGUAGGCUAACUCAAAGGGGUUGCCAAGGUAUGUAUUUAUUGCCUCACGGUCAAACCGGAUAGUUCGACCCCUCACAAAAGUUUCGAAUGUAAAUGGGUCAGUGUGUGGAUUUUCAGGUAGGGCAUUGGCAUAAAACUCACGCACUAACUCGGCAUUAAUAUCUGUUAUGGGUUGAAGGAGUCGUUCCCAUCCUUGAUCGAGUAAAAGUUUGGCAAUUUCUUUAUAGGGUCCCUCGGGAUUAAGGUUAAAGACCCUCUCACACCACAUGGAUUGGUCAAGCAGUUCAAUAUAUCUAUCUUGAUGGUAGCGAGACCUAAAUCUCUCCCUCUCAAAGGCUUGGUUUCUAGGUGGGGGUCGGGUUGCGGAUGUUUCUCCUUUCUUGCGUUUACCAGUGUUAACGGGUUUCUUUGGAGCCAUACCUGCAAACACAACCAGGAAUUCCACAAACACCAAACAGACAAUUAAAUAUCAGUAUGGAACAAAAAAUAUUGCAUGUUCUGUUACCACUCGCCUCGCGAGCAGGUGCACUCGCCAUGGCGAGUAGUUGAAAUUUUCUGGGUUUCAGAUUGCUCACUCGCCUUGGCGAAUGAUGAAGCUCGCCAUGGCGAGUUGCCCAGAAAAUGACAAAAAUCGACCCUUUUUCAAAAUUUCUUUCAGUUUCAACAUUCUUAACCCUAAAUAUAGUAAUUCCGACCCUGAUAAUGACAAAGAGAUGAACUAAAUCAUGCUUUUGAGUUGAAUGUCGAAUUAUACCACAAAAACCCUAAUUUUAAUUUUAUUUUUAAUUUUUACAAAAGGGUUAACAAAAAUGUGGAUUGGAAUCAGAACAACCACGAAUUUGGGCAUGAUUAUGUUUCAUCUGAGUCAUGUAGGUAUCAGUUUGAAGAACAUUACACUAUCUACUACCCUAGGGUUUUUUUUUUUUUUUUUUUUUUUUUUUUUUUUUUGCAUGCAAAUUUGAAAUGAAUGGCAACAAAGUGAAUACAAACCUGAAUCAGAAGUAAUCUAAGUGCAGAAAUGAGUAUGCAAUAAGCUUGACUUGGAUUGACUUGAUAAAUUGGAAAAAGGGUAGUGUUGAGGUGUUAGGGUUUGAGAGAAGGAAGAAAAAAUUUGUGUGGUUGAUGAGAGAGAAAUGCAAAACCGAAAAUGAUGAAUUAAAGUUGGUAAAGGGUGGUUAAGAGAGAUUAAUGAGGGAGUUAGUGGCUUUGAAAACUGAAACUGUCAGAACUGCUGCCAUUCGCCUCGCGAGCAUAUGUAUUCGCCAUGGCGAGCAAUUUGGUGGUCAACGCAGUCAAAGGACAGUUUUACUCGCCAUGGCGACUAGUUGUACUCGCCUCGCGAGUAAUGACAGUUCAGACUUUGCUUUCUUUUGGCUUCUGAUUUGUGAAUGGUUUUGGUAUGCACAUGACUCCUACACCUAGUAUGCAUUAUAAAAAUAAAUAACUUACAAAGUUGGGUUGCCUCCCAACAAGCGCUUGUUUAACGUCGUUAGCUCGACGCCUUUUUCGUUAGGGUGGCCAAAAUGAAACGGACAACACAUCAUCUUUUGUAAUCCUGCGUGUUGGGAGGAAUUCCAUGAAUUUGAAGUAUAAUUGAUGUGGAGUCCAUAUCCUCCCUAACUUUGGUUUAUUGAACAAGGCACAAAUCUCAUCUAUGAUCCGAUCAAUCUCCAACUUGUUCACUUUCUUCCCCUUUCCUUCCAUUGAUUCUUCCUUGAUUAGUAUCCGAUCCUCUUUCUCUGUCACCUCCAUCACUUCUUCAUUUUCAACAGUUUCGACCUCUUCAGUAUAUGGCCGUUCUUGAGGAAAUUCUUCUGGAUGUAGUGGCUCUAAUUCUUCCACCAUUUUCAUUGUGCUACAUUCUUCUAGUAUUAUGUCUUCCUCGGUAUCAUCAACACCUUCUUCAACAAUCUUUCCGACUUCCACAAAUGUAUUUGAAUUAUUUUCUUGUUUUCUGUGAGUGGAUUGAAUGUUGGCUUGAAUAUCCAUGAUUUGUUCUUGCAUUAUUUCCAUCUGCAAGGAUAGAUUCUUCAAUCUCUGAUUGGUAUCCUGCAUGUUUAUCAUGGAUUGCUGCAUGAAGAUAUUCAAAGUAUUUUCCAUCUUUGAUAUUCGUUCAUCUUCAUAGGGAUGUUGUUGAUACUGUUGAUAUGAUUCAUACUCCAAUGGAGUGUAGAAGUUGUUAUAACCAUGAUCAGCCAUGAUUGCAUUUAUGUAGAGAAUCUGAAACGGAUAUAACUAACAAGAAAUUUUUCUUUGUAUGCAAAGAGGGGUUAGUACCAAUAACUAUACAAAAGAAAAUAUAUUUACAGAGUAUUUACUAAUGCUUAAAAUGAUAAAAUAGUCGCGAUGUCUACGAUAUCUAAACGCCAGUCCCCGGCAGCGGCGCCAUUUUGAUGUAGUAUUUUUNNNNNNNNNNNNNNNNNNNNNNNNNNNNNNNNNNNNNNNNNNNNNNNNNNNNNNNNNNNNNNNNNNNNNNNNNNNNNNNNNNNNNNNNNNNNNNNNNNNNUUUUGCAUCAAACAAUUGUAAGUAUUUAUAUCGUCUCCUCAGGGACUAGUGCGAUAUCGCGGACCGUUCGACACCAAAUAUCAUUUCAAGUUAAACGAUAGUUGAUUGUUUGUUUUAGUAACUGAAUUGCAAAUGAUACAAUUGAGAUUAAUAGGGCGUAAAACUUGUUAGGAUUAGAGUUCCUUGAUCGAGCGUCGCACGUAACCUAAUGAUCAUACAUGGAUUCUAGCUUUUCUUUGAUAUUAUCACGUAUCCCUCGACAACACCAUUCGUGUCCAAACAAUAUUGUGAAAUCAAUUGUAUCAUUCAAUGGUCGAUGUCUCAAACUAUUGAAUGAUUCAAGAGUCGAUCUUAUCGUUCAAUCGAUGAUUUCUCAAUCUAUUAAAUGAUAAGAAAGCUUUAGGUUUGGAUACUCAAGGUGAUUAUCAAAACAUCGAUUCCAUGUCUAGAAACUAUGUUUUGAUAGAUGGUUAUUCUAAACCUAGAUUCAAAAGUAUUUCUCAAUCACAAUUAAAUCAAAGAUAAAGAUUAAAGUGCAAGAAUAACCUCAAUAUCAAUUCAAAUGCUAGAACCAUAUAUUUAUAGAUCAAACGAUUACAUGUUAAACUAUGAUCAAGUACCUCUAAUCCCAACAAAGGAGAUUUAGCUACUCAUUGUCAUGGAAGCCUUGCAAGAAUGAAUUGAAGAAGCAAGAUUCAUUACAACUUGUGAUGUCUCAACAAAGGAUGAAGAAUCCACUCUCUAUCACUCUCACUCUAUAAAGCACAAGCCCUAUCUCUCUCUCUCUCUAAGAAUAUUACAAGUGAAAAACUAAGAGAAAAACUAUCUAAAAACUAUAUAAAAAACUAUCUUUUUCUGAAAUGGUUGAGUGGGCUAUUUAUAGAAUUCUGAGUCUGCCUUCACUCGCCUCGCGAGCUGCUUCAUUCGCCAAGGCGAGUUGAAGUUUCUUCCCCAUUGGGUUUGUGCCACGUCAGCAUUUAGAGGCUAAACCGCCCUUACUCGCCUCGCGAGUCCUUCCAUUCGCCACGGCGAGUAAGCUCGCCUUCUACUCGCCAUUGCGAGUUGGUGGCGUGUGAUCUUUGUUGCAUUCUGGAAUUGCUCGCCUUUUCUGCUUGCCAUGGCGAGUUGGAGGCGAGUGAUCUCCUUUUUCUGCCUUUUUGUACUUUUCUCGAUUUUCUUCUCUUUGCUUGAUGUCUUGAGUUCGAAUCCUGCACAAAUGGGUGAAGUAAGAUAGAUAAAGCGUAAAAGGGCAAUAAUCACUUAUUUCUCGGCUUUUCCCUUAAUAACUUGCAAAACAAGUAACAAAAGUGCCUAAAAUAUAUCACUUAAAUUACAACUUUCUAGCACUUAUCAGGGGCAUCUGCAGACCCGGUUCGGUUGACAAGUUUACGGAAGAAGAUGAUUGAGUUAAUGCUAUGGAGCCUGUUAUUUCUGCAAAAGACAAUGAUUUUCUCACAGCUUCGUUUCAGGUCCAGGAAUUUAAGGAUGCAAUGUUUUCUAUGCUUCCGGAUAAAUGUCCAGGUCCAUAUGGUUUUAAUCCUGUAUUUUUUCCAUCAUUUUUGGUCUAUCGGUAGUCUUGAUAUCUUUAAUGAAUGUUUUCUUUAAGAAGCUAAAUUAGCCCACUAAAUUGGCAUUGGAGAGAAUCGAACCUGAGAUCUUGAAGAUCUUUAAUGAAUGUUGCUCGUGGCUUAAUCACAAUCACUUUCUACCUUCACUUAAUUCCACAAAUAUAGCUUUGAUUUCCAAAGGUACUGAUUGGCAGCCUAUAACUUUGUGUAAUGUUCAAUAUAAAUUGGUUGUCAAAGUCCUAGCUAAUAGACAUAAGAGUAUCCUCCAUAAGUGCAUCUAUGACAAUCAACCAACUUUUGUUAUGGGGCGCUCCAUCAUUGACAAUGACAUGAUAGCUAUCGAAGUUGUGCACCAUAUGAAAGUUAGUAAGCGUGUUAGAUAUGAAAAAAAAAUCUCUCAAGCUUGAUACUAGUAAUGCCUAUGAUCGUAUUGACUGGUUAUUGUGGUGUGUAUCGAAGCUGUUGACUAUUCUGUUAUUGUGAACAAUGAUUUGGAAGACCUAUUAUUCCCGGAAGAGGUUUACUUCAAGGAGAACCUUUAUCACCUUAUCUUUUUAUUUUGUGUGUUGAACGAAGAUGGGAUAUCCACGACAUUUCUAUUUACAUAAAUGCACUUGUUAUUUCUCACCUUUUAUUUGUCGAUGAUUGUUUCUUAUUUUUCAGGGCUAAAGAGCGAUAAGCUCUAACCAUGAAAAGUAUUCUUUAGACUUACGAGGUAGCCUCCUGUUAAGCUAUUAGUCUCCCAAAGUUUGAGGUUUAUUAUUGUAGCAGUGUAUCAAAUCCGUUGAAGGAUUCCAUAACCCUCAUCUUAGGAGUUAGAGCUGUUAUGGGAACAGGGAAAUAUCUUGGCUUGCCAUCGAUGGUUCGUCGAAGUAAAGAAGCAACUUUUAGUUUUAUCAAAGACCGUAUUUGGCAUAAAAUCAAUCCAUGGAGAAGAAAGUAUCUAUCCAAAGUGGGUAGAGAGGUAAUGAUCAAGUCAGUGCUUCAAAAUAUUCCAUCUUAUAUUAUGAGUAUCUUUCUUUUUCCAAAUAAGUUAGUCGAAUCCAUGGAAAAAAAAUUAUAAAUUCUUUUUGGUGGGGCCAUGGAUGAUUAAUGAGAAGAGGGAUGCAUUGGUUGUCUUGGGAGAGAUUAUCAAUUCAUAAAAAUUAUGGAGGUAUGGGUUUCAAGGAUCUCACAUCUUUUAAUGUGUCUAUGUUGGGGAAACGAGGUUGGAAGUUCCACACUGAUACAUCGAGUCUUAUUUCCCAUCUUUUUAAGGAGAGAUAUUUUUCUAAUUGUGAUUAUUUGAGUUCUCGAAUUGGUCACAAUCCCAGAUAUGUGCGACGUUGUAUUUUUCGUGUUAAGAUUGUUGUGAAUUAGGGUGCAAGGUGGCAUAAUGAGGGAAUUGCAUUAUCUACUAACAACCCUAUGUAUGCCUCCCUAGCCCAUUUUACGGUGAAAGAUAUUAUUCACCCAUUCAGAAAGGUAUGGAACACUCCUUUAAUUUAUAAUCUCUUGAUCCGAUUACAGCAUGACUCACUGUGAACACACCACUCCAACCUCUUGUCACUGAAGAUAAAUUGAUUAGGAAAGUGGAAAAGAAUGGUAAAUAUUCUGUUCAUAGUGCCUACUGCCUUUGAGUUACAGAAAUUGCAGAUAACUCUCAUUUACUCUGGAGCAAUGGAGUUCCAUGUGAAAGUUAAAGGUUCCUCCUAAGGUAAACAAUUUUUUAUGGCGAGUUUUUAGAGGAUACUUUUCCAACAAGAGCCCAUCUUAGUAGUCAAGGGGUGCGUUGUCCUAUUGAUUGUGUUCCUUGUGGGAAUAAUUUUGACGAUGGUAUCCAUGUCUUAUUGAAAUGUCUUGGUGCUAUCCAAGUAUGGCAUCAUGUUAAUCUUUGGGACAAAAUUAAUAGUACUCUCUGACAAGAUUAUAAUAUGAAUGCUAUGAUUUUUCAUUUUUUGCAUCAAUUUUCUCCAGCUCAGAGUGAGCUGUUUGCCACAAGUGAAUCUUUGCUCCAUUUAGCUAUACUUUAUUUAGUUCAUUUAAGAUUAUGUCUACAAAACAUGUGGCACAAAAAUAUCUACUGGCUGAAAUUGAAAAUAAUACAAAAAACAAGUAAAACAUUGUUCCAUUGUAUUCACGCUCCUCCCUCUUCAUCUACACACAACCGCUGCUCUUCUCCCUUUCUCUCAUAUCGUCAUCAACCACCAUCCAGCCGUCGUCCGUCGCCGACCCUUUGCAUCAAUCGAGUCAUAAGUUCGUGUCGAAUUUCCAGUAUUUGGUCUGUGUGAAGACAAUAACCCCCUUACUGCAUCCUCAUUCUCAUUCCAAUUUCCCAUUCAGAAUUUUAAGGUUUAUCAUCUGAUUCCAAACAUAUCAUUUGACUAAUUCUUAAACAACAACAACAAACAAACAAACAUUGCUAUUGCAGUUUAAUAUUCCAAUUUCAUAUACAUAAUAUCAAAAUUAACAACAUUAACUGACUAAAUAACUAAGAAUGAAUAUUUCUAGGGUUUCAAAAAAAAGAAACAAUAAACAAAAUUAAGAUGAGUAAUGAAUGACCUGAUGCAUUUGUAGGAGCGAAAGUGCAUUUAACGAUUGCAAUUUUAGAAUUGAACAACGGAAAGAACGGAGUCUCAGGAACAAUGAGAGAAGGUGUAGAGGAAGGAAGAUGUUUUUGCUUAUGUGGAGCGGUAGGGUGGGACGACGGUACCCUGGUGGCAACGCCGGCGCUGACGAAAGGGUGAUGGUGGGGCGGCGUUUUUAGGAGAUGAAGGAGUGUGUUGUAUCAUAGGAGGAAGAGCAGAGGCGUGUGUUUAUUUUCCAAUAAACAAGUAUUUUUUUCGAAGCCUUUUAAUCUCAGCCAUUGGUUUUUUAUUUUUCACAUGUCAAACAUCCAUGAAGUGAAUUGGUAUAAAUGGAGGCUCUCUAAAGGAAGCAAAGAUGCACUCGUUAGCCACGAGAAUGUGGAGCUUGUGAAAACGGCGGAGUCUCAAACUAUGGUAGCAACAAAAUGAAACAAAUAUGCAGGUUGUUGAACGUGCUACACAUCUUCUUGAUGAAUGGAGAGCAGCCAAAAAUAUUAGGUCCCGAAUUGCGGCAAAUUCUAGUAAUGAUAAAAACGGGCAUGUGGAGCUUGUGAUAAACAAAUUCUAGUAAUGAUAAACAAAAUGUUAGGUCCGUGAAUUGUAACAUUGAUGCCUCUUUUUUCUAGUCAACGAAUAUGGUUUGUAUAUGCAUAUGUUUGCGAGAUUUUGCAUGUAAUUUGUGAUUGCAAAAAUUGAUUGCUUCUCUCCCCUUUGUCAAGUUGAUAUAGGAGAGGCUUUUGGGAUGUCUACGACUUUAAAUUGGAUAUCAAACUUUCAAUAUGAUAAUGUUGGUUUUGCUUUAGAUUCUAAGAAUGUCGUUGAUCAGUUUAGGUCAGUAAUAGAAGAUAAUAGUGAAUUUGGUUGUAUUAUAUCUGACUGUAAAAACUUGUUCCAUCAUAGGUAUCAGAACUCUCAUGUCGAGUUCAAUAGAAGACAAGCUAAUGAGGUCGUUCACGAGUUAGCUCAGGUAGCCCUAGGUCAUGUUAGCUCCCACAUUUACAAUAACGCAUCGUCAUGUAUUUCGUACAUUAUAGCUAAUGAACAACACUGUAUUUUCUUUCUUAAAAAAAAUUAUUUGGUGCAAAUCAAUAGUACAAAUCAACGAUGUUAGUAUCAAUGAUUUAUUUUUUGUUGAAGAAGUUAGUAUCAAUGAUUUUCAGGUAUAUUUAGAACAAUACAAAAAGUUCUUAAAAAAUGAUUUUUUUUUUUUUAAGAAGUUAUUAUCAAUGAUUUUCAGGUAUAUUUAGAGCAGUACAAAAAAGUCUUAAGAAAAUAUUCUUUUUUCACAUGAAAUGAAUUAAAUAUAAAUAUUUGAAACACAAAAUAGUGUUUUCUGGAUGAGUUUUGGUUUAUCCAUAAAAAAAGGUUUGAGAUUCUCCCAUAUCAUUUGAAGAUUCUUUGUUUUUAGAGCAUACUAACAAAUGACUAUAUAAAUUAGCUUAUAAUUGAUAAAAACAAAAUACAAAUUAGCUUAUGGGACACCUAAAAUCGGAAUUUUUCUAUUAUAAAAAGGGCAGGCCGGUCUCACCAACUAGUGUAUUGUAGCAGUUUUAUCAUAUUUUUACAUAAAAACCGUUUUCAAAAUUUGAGCUUGUGACCUUUCAAUCAUGUUACGUGGCAUUUGAAAAAUAUCUUAAUCAACAUUUUUUCAUAAAUAAUUCAAAAAAAACUAUUUAUUUUUAAAAUUCUUUAUCACAUCCAUCAACAAACUUUGAAUUAAAAAAAAAAAAUCAUCAAUAAACUCAUGAAAAAAACGAAAAAAUUCUACAAAAAAUAAAUAAAUAAAGUCGUUUUUUUAUGACCUAUUAGGGGGUAUUCCAAAAAAAUAAAAUUACAGCGGGUAAAUCAAAAAAAAUAUUUUACAGGGAGGAAAACAAAAAAUGAUCUAUAUUACAGGUAAAGCCAGUGGCAGAUCUUAGUAGAGACCCUUGGGUGCCAUGGCAUCCCCUGGGUUUUCAAUAUAUACCAUAUUAGACAUAUUAUUUUAGUAAGUUUUGAAUUGUCGCAGCAGUAAGCUAGUCUUAUAGUCCCACCAACGGUCGCGAGUGAGUUCGACACUCACGCCAUCUUUUUUGACAUUUUUCUCUCGUAUUUACAUUUUUUAUUCAAAAAAAACCACUAGCAGGGAUUCAAACCUGCAUCCCACUUGGUGCUUUCAAACAAUUUAAACCAUUACAGCAAGUGAUUAUUUUUAUCUACUUUUUGAAACUGGUUUACAUAUAUUUCAUGGUGGUUUGGCACCCCCAAUAAAUUUACUCAAGAUCCGCCACUGGGUAAAGCACCAUUAACCCCAAAAUAAACGAAAAUCUACAUUAACCAAAUUACAACACCACAUCAAAUCUACAUUUGACAAACUCAAAAAAUUCUAGAUAUGAGAUUAAUACAAUAAAAACCUAGAAUCCAAUUCAAGAACUGUUAAAUUUGGUAACAACCUUGUACAUUCCAAAACAACAUUCAAUGAGAAACUCGUCAGUAUCAGGGGUAAAUUCGUCGGUGUCAGGUAUUAUAAAUCUCCCUUUUUGAUUCUGCCCUAUGAAGCAUGCAAAUAUGGCCGUUGAAUCACACCUGAUAUGUUCUGAUACAUUGUCGAUACAUAUUUAAAGAGUGUCCAAAUUUUUUAAUUUAAACUAAAAAAUAAAAAUUUGGAUUCGUCACCGACACGUUGUCGUCAACACGUUUCUAAUAUGCCUUUGAUACAUCUCAUGAUUGUUCAAUUUUCCCCUCCUUAAUUAGAUGAAUGUAAAUUAUAAUAUAUACCCAGUUAAUUUAUUAGAAUUUUUUAAGUUUUCUUUCUUUUUCCCAUAAUUCUCUUACGGUUGCAAAUUGAAAUCACAGCUAACUAAGAGUGCAUAUAAUAUGUCAUACUUACCAAUUGUGAACAAAUCACUAUAGAGGAUAGAGUUCCGAGCUUUAUUUUAAUUUUUAUGUGUAUGUUAAAUGCAUCGUAUUCUAUAUUUUUCAAUGAUUGAUGUCCGUAUUUAUACGUGUGGUAUCUGAUACUCGUAUUAUGUCCAUGAAUAAUAGAUUCAACCAAACAACUAACAACCAUACCUUUAAAAUUCUAUCUUGGGGCACAUGAGAGUGCACCCAAAGCCAUGAUCUAGGCGCAUAAACCAUGCUUUAGGCGCAUGGUGCUGCCUCAUGGGCACAGGUUCUCCGAUUUCCCGUCUUUUUAGGUCUUCGUCUUCAAAUAACUUGCCUCGGAACUUAGGAACAUAAUUCCUCCCACUGUAAAGUCUCAUGAGGUCUCUUGAAUCUUCAUUUUUGGUCUUCCCAAAGUCUUCACAAAUCUUCAGAUGGUCUUGAUUUGUCGAUUUGCAUGAUUUCUUCGUGAAGUACUUCAAAAAACCCCUAAAAUUGUUAUGUUUCGGGAAAACUAGAAUUACAUACUAAAAUAUAGAAAACAUUACAAAAGUCCCGAAAUCAUAUGCAAUCGUUCUAAUACUCCACCUUUUUUGCUGCUAAAAUCUACUAAAAAUGACUGAAAAACAUGCUAAAAAUAACGUAAGAUGACCUGUCAUCAAAAUCAAAACUAACUAAUAGUGCAUAUAAUAUGCCACACUUACAAAUUAUGAACAAACCACUAUAAAGGAUAGAGUUAUGAGUUAUGAGUUUAGUUGGAAGUUCGCCACUUCUAUUAAGCUUGUGUUGUGAUUUCAGUUUAAAAUUUGUAACUAACGUUUACUACUUUAUUUUAAUUUUUAUAUGUAUAUAUUAAAUGUAUUGAAUCCUAUAUUUUCAAUGACUGACGUAUCGAUACGUGUUGUACCUGAUACUCGUAUUGUGUCUGUGAUUAAUAGAUUAGCCAAACGACCAACAACCACAACCUUAAAAUUCUCUCUCCCACCCAUUUUUAGAAACGACCCACAACCAUAGUAUUUUUCUUUGACCUUUUGGAAGCUAGUUUACUAAGUAAUGAAUAAGAUGAGCACCAUACUCCUCAGUUAUUUGUGACACAAGCAAUUGAAGCUUAAUAUAGUUUUAGACUUGGAAGUUUUAUUAUAACUACUGAUGACAUAUCAUCUUUCAAUUUUGAACAAUCCACUAUAAAGGAUAGAGUUCUAAGUUUAGUUGAAAAUUCGCCACUUCUAUUGAGUUUGUGUUGUGAUUUUAGUUUAAAAUUUGUAAUUAAUGUUUACAACUUUGUUUUAGUUUUUACAUGUGUAUGUUAAAUGUAUCGUAUCCUAUAUUUUUCAAUGACUGACAUAUCAAUAUGUGUUGUAUCUGCUACUCGUAUCGUGCCCCGUGAUUAAUAGAUUCAGCCAAACGACCAACAAUCACUGCCUUCAAAUUCUCUCUUCCACCCAUUUUCAGAAACAACCCACGACCAUGGUUUUUGUCUUUGACCUUUUGGAAGCUAGUUUACUAAGUAAUGAAUGAGAUGAGCACCAUACAUAGUCCUCAGUUACUUAUGACACAAGCAAUUGAAGCUUAAUACAGUUUUAGACUUAGAAGUUCUGUUAUAACUACUGAUGACAGACCAUCUUACGUUAUUCUUAGCAUAUUUUUCAGUAAUUUUUAUUUAGUUUUGAUCCGAAAUAGAGGAGUUUUAGAGCUAUUACCUAUGGUUUUGGGGAUAUUUUGUAAUGUUUUCAUUUAUAAUCAUGUAAUUCUAAUUUCUCAAAAACAUAACAAUUCUAAAGUAUUUUGAUGUAAUUCAAAAAGAAAUCAUACAAAUAUAUUUGCUAACAAAAACAAAAGGUGAAUAUUGUUAUAAGAUCAAAUUGAUCUAAAAUUUAAAUUAUUUAAGUUUAUAUAGACAAAUAGUAACCUAACAUACUUAAUCUACUCUAAAAGAAACAUAACAUACUUAUUCUACUAGCUAGUACUACUAUAUUACUCUCUUAGUUUACUAUGUAUACUAUUCAUACAAGACAUUUUAUCAUAUAUGUUUCUAUUAAUAUAAAGAUAAAUAGUAAGAUAAAGAUGUUAGGGUUAAUAGUGUUUUUCACCCCUGUAAUAUAUGUCAUUUUUUGUUUUCGUCCUUAUAAAAUUUUUGGUUUGAUUUGCACCCUCGUAAAAAUUUUAUUUUUCGAAAAACACCCCUAAUAGGCCAUUUUCAGAUUUUUUUUUUUCAAGAAAUUUUGGUUUUUGAAUGGCCUAUUAAGGUUGUUUUUCGGAAAAUAAAAAUUUUACGAGGGUGAAAUCAAACUGAAAAUUUGAUAGGGGCGAAAAAUGAAAAUGACAUAUAUUACAGGGGUGAAAAACACUAUUAACCCAAGAUGUUAUUAGAUUUUUCUUAACAAAAUACUUUUAAAAUAUCUACUCUUAAUUAUCUUUUGUUAAUAUUCCUCUAAUAAAAUAAAUUUUUUUGUAAUUGUCAAAAAUGUGCAUCGCAUGUAAGAAAGUUACACAAACAAACCACUUUUUCAAUAGUCAUAAACAUUUAACCAAAAUCAAUCAUCUUGAUAGGGGGUAGUAUAUGGGACACCACUUGUGUACCAUUAAGGUAUCAAUGUUAUAUAACAUUGACCAAUAAGAGUGUGCCACAUACCAAUGUUACUUUAUAAAUGUUUUAUUUGAUAUAUGUUUUUUAAAGUGUGUGCCACAUGUCACACCUUAAUUGGCUAAUGUUAUAUAACAUAAUGGUACACAAGUGCUAUCCGUAGUAUAUGGCCCUGGCGAAAAGGGGGCCGUCGUAAAAUUCUUAUAAGUUAAUACUCUCUUUUUCGGGGAAAUAUCUUAAUAGCCAAUACUUUUUUUCACAAACACAUGCCAAAAAAACAAUUUCACAAACAAACACGUACAUCACGAGUUUCAAGAUAAUAAGAGAUCAACUUGGAGUUCUAUAUAGUCUUCAACUUCAACAUUGUUACGUACAACCAAACCAUUCAUUGUAGACAUGUCUUUUGCAGUAACAACAACAAUAUUUGCUUUCCUUCUCUUCACUUUCACAUACUUUCUAUUCAAACUAUUCUUGCAUUCAAAACAAAAAACCAUUAUCCAUAAAAAACCACCAUGUCCACCAACACUACCAAUAAUAGGAAAUCUUCACAUAUUAGGCAAACUUCCACAUAGAACACUUCAAUCACUCUCCAAAAAAUAUGGUCCAAU
rnacentral:lncRNA from 1 species